AUGGCUUCUACGAAGAAGGGUUGUGACAAGAAGGGCCGCUCUGCCACCAACAAGGUGAUGACCUGAGAAUGCAUCAUCAUUUACAAGGGUAUCCAUGGAGUGGGCUUCAAGAAGACUGCCCCUGGGCAUUCAAAGAGAUCUGGAAAUUUGUUAUGAAGGAGAUGUGUUCACUGACAUGAGGCUCAACAAAGUUGUCUGGGCCAAAGGAAUAAGGAACGUCCUAUACCACAAUCUGUGAACAGCUGUCCAGGAAAUGUAAUGAAAAUGAAGAUUCACCAAACGAGCUCCAUAUUUUGAUUACCUAUGUACCUGUUACCACUUUCAAAAAUCUAUAGUCAGUCAAUGAGGAUGAGAACUAG
rnacentral:lncRNA from 1 species